rnacentral:rRNA from 1 species
UACGGAGGGUGCAAGCGUUAUCCGGAUUCACUGGGUUUAAAGGGUGCGUAGGUGGGCAGGUAAGUCAGUGGUGAAAUCUCCGAGCUUAACUCGGAAGCUGCCGUUGAUACUAUUUGUCUUGAAUAUUGUGGAGGUAAGCGGAAUAUGUCAUGUAGCGGUGAAAUGCUUAGAUAUGACAUAGAACACCAAUUGCGAAGGCAGCUUACUACACAACGAUUGACGCUGAGGCACGAAAGCGUGGGGAUCAAACAGG